UGUAUUUUUGGAACUCCUAAAGCAUAAGCUUUCAUAUGAGGGGACUUUUGUGCAAGAUGAUAAAGAGUCUAGGGUUUUGCCAUGAAUAUAUAUGUGUUGUUUGCUGUGUUUUUAUGGAAGAUUAUAAGUCCUAGUUGUCUAAUAAACAACUUUUGUGAAAGAAAUUGCAAGAAAAUACCUUAAAAAAGGCUAAAUUGCUAAGUUGUAAAAUGAGUUGUAAAUGUGUAAAAUAGUUGAAAUUAUGAGUUGCUAUGGUUAUGAAAAUGGUUCAUCUAGACUCAAGGAGUAAAUAAAUGUGAUAAAAAUUAAUUUACGAGCAUUGGGGCAAAAGUGCAAAUAUGCAAAAGUUUAGGGGUCAAAAUGAAAAUUUGUAAAAAUAUGAUUUUUAGACCCAUAUGAAUAUUGUGACUGAUUGGUAGGCUAAAUGUGAUGUUAUAGAUGAUGAAAAUUGAGACUUGGACCUAGAACGGAAAGAAAUCGAUUUAUGGACGAGUAUGUCCUUUUCACAUUUGUGGUAUCGAGAGUUUCCAGGUUAGCUCGGGUUGGAGGCCGUCGGAGAUAUUAUCACCCUAUCGAGUUAACGUUAUCGGAGUAAGUAAACUCAAGUGAUUCGAGUCUAUGGCAUGUAUAGGGUUUUAAUGUGAGUAUGUAAUAUUAUGAUUUAGCCAAAGGCAUUGGCUUGUUAUUAAGGUAGUAUUAGUCAUGUAAAUUAGCCUAUGUCGGCUAAUGACAUUAUGGGCCCAUAUGAUUAUUCUUAUGCAUGUAUGUUAUUAUCUCUUGUGAUGUGGCUUACAACAUGUAUGCCUAGAGAUUGAAUUGAGAUUCAUUGAUGAGCUAGUAACUAAUGCAGGAUUAAGUGAUUGGUAAA